ACAUCCGUAGCUUGUUUAGCAAGUCUCUUGUGAAAUCUCAUAUCUCAAGUAUGAGGCGUGCAAGAGAUACUGUUUUACUAGAGAUCGGUAGGUGUAAGAAGUACACGAGAGGUAGUGGUUAAAUACGUUAAUCUUUCGUGGACUCACAAUUAGCGAAGGCAUCUUACAAGAACGAGUCUGACAGUGAGGGAUGAAGGCCAGGGGCGCAAAACGGAUUAGAUACCCGUGUAGUCCUGGCAGUAAACACUGCUCACUAAACAUUGGGGCCUCUUCGGGAGGUUUCAGUGCUGAAGCGAAGGCGUAGAGUGAGCUACCUGGGAAGUAUAGUCGCAAGAUCGAAACUUAAAGGAAUUGGCGGGGGAGCACAAGCCGA
rnacentral:rRNA from 1 species